AGUACAGACAUGGGUUAGAUACACAGCUAGGUACAGAGUACAGACAUGGGUUAGAUACACAGCUAGGUACAGAGUACAGACAUGGGUUAGAUACACAGCUAGGUACAGAGUACAGACAUGGGUUAGAUACACAGCUAGGUACAGAGUACAGACAUGGGUUAGAUACACAGCUAGGUACAGAGUACAGACAUGGGUUAGAUACACAGCUAGGUACAGAGUACAGACAUGGGUUAGAUACACAGCUAGGUACAGAGUACAGACAUGGGUUAGAUACACAGCUAGGUACAGAGUACAGACAUGGGUUAGAUACACAGCUAGGUACAGAGUACAGACAUGGGUUAGAUACACAGCUAGGUACAGAGUACAGACAUGGGUUAGAUACACAGCUAGGUACAGAGUACAGACAUGGGUUAGAUACACAGCUAGGUACAGAGUACAGACAUGGGUUAGAUACACAGCUAGGUACAGAGUACAGACAUGGGUUAGAUACACAGCUUGGUACAGAGUACAGACAUGGGUUAGAUACACAGCUUGGUACAGAGUACAGACAUGGGUUAGAUACACAGCUAGGUACAGAGUAGAGACAUGGGUUAGAUACACAGCUUGGUACAGAGUACAGACAUGGGUUAGAUACACAGCUAGGUACAGACAUGGGUUAGUUUAACACCCCUGCUCUAGAACACCCUAAAACACUCUAAACCACCCUAGAACACCCUGGAACACU